UUCCAGACUCCUACGGGAGGCAGCAGUAGGGAAUCUUCGGCAAUGGACGGAAGUCUGACCGAGCAACGCCGCGUGAGUGAAGAAGGUUUUCGGAUCGUAAAGCUCUGUUGUAAGAGAAGAACGAGUGUGAGAGUGGAAAGUUCACACUGUGACGGUAUCUUACCAGAAAGGGACGGCUAACUACGUGCCAGCAGCCGCGGUAAUACGUAGGUCCCGAGCGUUGUCCGGAUUUAUUGGGCGUAAAGCGAGCGCAGGCGGUUAGAUAAGUCUGAAGUUAAAGGCUGUGGCUUAACCAUAGUACGCUUUGGAAACUGUUUAACUUGAGUGCAAGAGGGGAGAGUGGAAUUCCAUGUGUAGCGGUGAAAUGCGUAGAUAUAUGGAGGAACACCGGUGGCGAAAGCGGCUCUCUGGCUUGUAACUGACGCUGAGGCUCGAAAGCGUGGGGAGCAAACAGGAUUAGAUACCCUGGUAGUCCACGCCGUAAACGAUGAGUGCUAGGUGUUAGACCCUUUCCGGGGUUUAGUGCCGCAGCUAACGCAUUAAGCACUCCGCCUGGGGAGUACGACCGCAAGGUUGAAACUCAAAGGAAUUGACGGGGGCCCGCACAAG
rnacentral:rRNA from 1 species